rnacentral:ncRNA from 1 species
UUUCGAAAAAGGCAAACUAAUUGAAAGAUUAGGACGCAAAACUACGGGUCUUCUAUUUUAAAAAAUAAUGAUCGCCGGGUUACCGAA